GCCAGCGUGGGAUAGUGGUUUGUGUGUUGGAUGCUACUCUGGAGACCUGGGUUCGAAUCCCUGCUCAGCCA